GCACAUAUACUAAACAUAUACUAAAAAAAACGAUACAGAGAAGAUUAGCAUGGCCCCCUGCGUAAGGAUGACACGCAAAUUCAUGAAGUGUUCCAUAUUUAA